AGUAACGCGUAGGUAACCUGCCUUGUAGCGGGGGAUAACUAUUGGAAACGAUAGCUAAUACCGCAUAACAAUGGAUGACCCAUGUCAUUUAUUUGAAAGGGGCAAAUGCUCCACUACAAGAUGGACCUGCGUUGUAUUAGCUAGUAGGUGAGGUAACGGCUCACCAAGGCGACGAUACAUAGCCGACCUGAGAGGGUGAUCGGCCACACUGGGACUGAGACACGGCCCAG
rnacentral:rRNA from 1 species